rnacentral:rRNA from 1 species
UACGGAGGGUGCAAGCGUUAUCCGGAUUUACUGGGUUUAAAGGGUGCGUAGGUGGAUAAUUAAGUCAGUGGUGAAAUCUUCAGGCUUAACCUGGAACUGCCAUUGAUACUAUUUGUCUUGAAUACUUUGGAGGUAAGCGGAAUAUGUCAUGUAGCGGUGAAAUGCUUAGAUAUGACAUAGAACACCAAUUGCGAAGGCAGCUUACGUACACAGUAAUUGACACUGAGGCACGAAAGCGUGGGGAGCAAACAGG